rnacentral:rRNA from 1 species
UGGAGCAUGUGGUUAAUUCGAAGCAACGCGCAGAACCUUACCUGGUCUUGACAUCCCGGGAAUUCCUUGAAAGAGGGAAGUGCCUCGCAAGAGGAGCCUGGAGACAGGUGCUGCAUGGCUGUCGUCAGCUCGUGUCGUGAGAUGUUGGGUUAAGUCCCGCAACGAGCGCAACCCUUGUCUUUAGUUGCCAUCAUUCAGUUGGGCACUCUAAAGAGACUGCCGGUGUCAAACCGGAGGAAGGUGGGGAUGACGUCAAGUCCUCAUGGCCUUUAUGACCAGGGCUACACACGUACUACAAUGGCCGGUACAAAGGGCAGCCACUUAGCGAUAAGGAGCCAAUCCCGUAAAGCCGGUCUCAGUCCGGAUUGGAGUCUGCAACUCGACUCCAUGAAGUUGGAAUCGCUAGUAAUCGUGGAUCAGCACGCCACGGUCGAAUACGUUCCCGGGCCUU